rnacentral:rRNA from 1 species
AUUUUGGACAAUGGGCGAAAGCCUGAUCCAGCAAUGCCGCGUGCAGGAUGAAGGCCUUCGGGUUGUAAACUGCUUUUGUACGGAACGAAAAAGCUCCUUCUAAUACAGGGGGCCCAUGACGGUACCGUAAGAAUAAGCACCGGCUAACUACGUGCCAGCAGCCGCGGUAAUACGUAGGGUGCGAGCGUUAAUCGGAAUUACUGGGCGUAAAGCGUGCGCAGGCGGUUAUGUAAGACAGAUGUGAAAUCCCCGGGCUCAACCUGGGAACUGCAUUUGUGACUGCAUGGCUAGAGUACGGUAGAGGGGGAUGGAAUUCCGCGUGUAGCAGUGAAAUGCGUAGAUAUGCGGAGGAACACCGAUGGCGAAGGCAAUCCCCUGGACCUGUACUGACGCUCAUGCACGAAAGCGUGGGGAGCAAACAGGAUUAGAUACCCUGGUAGUCCACGCCCUAAACGAUGUCAACUGGUUGUUGGGAAUUAGUUUUCUCAGUAACGAAGCUAACGCGUGAAGUUGACCGCCUGGGGAGUACGGCCGCAAGGUUGAAACUCA